CACGUAGGAGGCAAACGUUAUCCGGAUUUACUGGGGCGUAAAGCGCGCGCAGGCGGUUGGUUGCGUCGGGUGUGAAAGCCCCCCCGCUCAACGGGGGAGGGGUCAUUCGAAACGGGCCAACUGGAGGCAGGGAGAGGUCGGUGGAAUUCCCGGUGUAGUGGUGAAAUGCGUAGAUAUCGGGAGGAACACCAGUGGCGAAGGCGGCCGGCUGGACCUGACCUGACGCUGAGGCGCGAAGGCGUGGGGAGCGAACGGGAUUAGAUACCCCGGUAGUCC
rnacentral:rRNA from 1 species